GGAAAAGGGUAUUGAUGAUAUUAUGGGAGAUUUAGCUGCGAGAGAUGGUUUUGACUGGCCAACCUACAAGAAGGGCCUGAAGAAGGCUGAGCAAUGGAACGUUGAGGUUUAUUGACGAUCCUAUGUGGGUUUGGUUCAUCUUCUCUUUGAGAGGCUCUUUCUUCUGGAUACCAUCUAUUGUAUGUAGAUAGCCAUUUUUUUCUUUUUGUUUCGAAUGUUACUUUCUUGUUUGGCAGUUCUGAUCCCGUGGCCUACUAAAU
rnacentral:misc_RNA from 1 species